rnacentral:lncRNA from 1 species
CCGAUAGGAGUCGCGUACCUCGUUCUCAGGACACGGCGGAUGAGCUAGACGUCGGGAUCGCUAAACCUCUGGGUGACCAGAGGGGCGCCGGACAUCGCUCAGGUGGGACCAACACUCAUGAGGAGCACUGGCCCGGGGGUUGAUUAAAUUAUCCUCGGGGUCCGGAAAGUCCCUAUGCAAUUUUAUUAGGUGUUUAGGCAAAUGUAGUACCAAAGUUGGGCCUUGCCAGACCAGCUUUAAUCU